rnacentral:rRNA from 1 species
GAUGAACGCUGGCGGCGUGCCUAAUACAUGCAAGUCGAGCGAACAGAUGAGGAGCUUGCUCCUCUGACGUUAGCGGCGGACGGGUGAGUAACACGUGGAUAACCUACCUAUAAGACUGGGAUAACUUCGGGAAACCGGAGCUAAUACCGGAUAAUAUAUUGAACCGCAUGGUUCAAUAGUGAAAGACGGUUUUGCUGUCACUUAUAGAUGGAUCCGCGCCGCAUUAGCUAGUUGGUAAGGUAACGGCUUACCAAGGCGACGAUGCGUAGCCGACCUGAGAGGGUGAUCGGCCACACUGGAACUGAGACACGGUCCAGACUCCUACGGGAGGCAGCAGUAGGGAAUCUUCCGCAAUGGGCGAAAGCCUGACGGAGCAACGCCGCGUGAGUGAUGAAGGUCUUCGGAUCGUAAAACUCUGUUAUUAGGGAAGAACAAAUGUGUAAGUAACUAUGCACGUCUUGACGGUACCUUAUCAGAAAGCCACGGCUAACUACGUG